GACAGUUUUUUUUUCCAAAUCAAACAAAAACACAAAAUUGUUUCACACAUUGAACAUCUUUAUCGCGCCCGCUUGUCCCAUGUAUUUAAAUUGAAGUAUUACUAAUUGCCGCUGCAUGUUAUGUUUGCAUUGUUCCUCAAAUAUUGAAUAUUGCCUGAAAGGUAGCCGCCAGCCAGCCAGUCAGUUACAAUUUUGAGUGAAAUUCUCCCCAAAAAUAGAUGCUGCGAUUUUUGUUUGUUUGUCAUUUCUUUACCGUUAUGUUGUAAAUGAAAGUUAAAUAUUUGUGAGUUUUGGUUGGCAUGUAGCUCAAGAGGAGAUUUGUGUUGGGAUGCAACAUUAAUGUUUUGUAUGUGUAUAGAAGGCAGGUGUAAUAUUGGCAUGAAUGGUAUAACAAAUUACGGUAAUUUAGAACACUUGUUCAUACAUUUAUAUGGGAAUUCAAAAUGUAAAUUUAAAAUGUCAAGGUUUGUUCCGUAGCACUCGAUUUUACAAUAAAUGUGCUAAAUGCAAAUGGUGAAAAUUUA
rnacentral:sRNA from 1 species